CGGUUUGUACCUUGAAUGACACUGAUAACCCAACCGAAAUUUAUUCUGAUUUCAUAUGAAAGAGUUGUACAAUAUGGUUGAAAUGAUAAAUACGGUUUGUACCUUGAGUGACACUGAUAACCCAACCGAAAUUUAUUCUGAUUUCAUAUGAAAGAGUUGUACAAUAUGGUUGGAAUGAUAAAUACGGUUUGUACCUUGAAUGACACUGAUAACCCAACCGAAAUUUAUUCUUGCCGUAAACAUGUGACAUCAGUGCUGCUUUCGAAGUUUUAAAUUCUAAUUAAUUUAGGCCCUAUUUGGCAUAGCUCUGAAUCAAAGAUUUCUAGAGCUGGAUAUUCCUAACUUCAUAAAUCCAUGAUUGUGAAUAUGUUGAUAAUAUAUGGAUGAAUCAUUUUAUUCCUAUUUUAGAUGGAAUAUAAAGUUUUUAAUAUAAUGUAAUACACAAACUCUAAAUCCCGUGAGUGUUUGCAAUAUGGGGCUGUGCCAAACAUAGCCUCAAAUAAUUGAGAGUAGGUCUGAAGUAUUUCUGUCGACGGGAUGUACCCGACAACGGUAUUUUAGUAGUAUAGGGGAUGUUGGUAACAGGGCAUAAGCAAGAUUGUGGUAAAGAGACGGGACAUAUAGAUGUUGGUAAGAGGGUAUAAGCGAUAUUUUGUAAAGAGACGGGAAGACAGCUAUUUUAUCUAUGCUAGUUUAGGCCCACGAGGUGGGUAAUAGGCAUAAUCCAGUUUAUAUAAAUUGCUUUGAGAUGUAUCAUACCGAUUACAAAGGAGGAGCAAGCUAGCUAUCUAGCCCACCAACUAGUAUUUGCCGAGAACUAAUUCAACGACUUGAAAUCGACGGCUAGCUAAUGACUACCUUCCAGCUAUGGUCUUUGCUAUGGCUUGUGAUUUGAUAUUUUCCCUUCCUAGGUGCUAUUUAUUUACUAUAUGAGUAGGUGACUUCUUGUCCAAGUAUAACUCUAGGGGUUAAUGUGAGAUACGAGCAAAUAAGAUCUUGCUUUUCUCGGAUCUGAUAUAAAAGGUAUACCUAAUACGUAUAAUACAGAUAAUUUUAUUUUGAGAAAACAUUAUACUAGUAAAAAACAGUUUUUCCAUACGGCCAAAAUGGUAUUUUUUUUUUCAUGUGGGUGGCGCACCCACACGCGAAAAUCGAUUUUCG
rnacentral:lncRNA from 1 species